rnacentral:tRNA from 1 species
GGUUCUAUAGUAUAACUGGAUAGUACGCCCGCCUCCUAAGCGGCUGAUCCCGGUUCGAGUCCGGGUAGAACCA